rnacentral:rRNA from 1 species
UACGGAGGAUGCAAGCGUUAUCCGGAAUUAUUGGGCGGAAAGCGUCCGCAGGUGGCAGUUCAAGUCUGCUGUCAAAGACCGGGGCUUAACUUCGGAAAGGCAGUGGAAACUGAACAGCUAGAGUAUGGUAGGGGCAGAGGGAAUUCCUGGUGUAGCGGUGAAAUGCGUAGAGAUCAGGAAGAACAUCGGUGGCGAAGGCGCUCUGCUGGACCAUAACUGACACUCAGGGACGAAAGCUAGGGGAGCGAAUGGG